ACUCUAUUUUUUAAGACAUGAGUUUCUUGGACUAUUGCCUAAUUCCGACUUCUUUUAUUUAUAGGUAGUUACGUAAUCUUUAAGUAUUUGGAUCAAAUUGUUAUCCCUACAAUAGACUUUAAUGUUUAUUAAGAGAAGUGCUUCUGUUUACAAGUCACAUUCAUCCAAUAAUACCUGCGUAUAUUAAAUGAAAGCAGAGGGUUAAGUAAUAACCAUUAAGGUAUUUCAGAAUCACGAAUCACCUCACCCCAAACAAAAUUAGAUACGAUGGCGGCCAUAAGGAAAAUCUCGAGACAGCUCCUAAUCUAGGGGGUGAUUAGCGCAUCAUUGGAUAAAUAAGGGGUACCGUCCCUUGGGUAUCAUUGCUGGCCGCGUUAGGGUAACGAUCCGUCAAGUGAAAACGCCGUGGAAAUAGUGCGUUUUUUACCAACGCCAAUAGGGGAGCAGAACUGGCGUGUACAAAGAACAAAAAACCUUCAACCUGUCCGAUCGAUCAACGUCAAACGCACUGUGCAGGAAGACGUGCCUUUAAAUUCUUUGUACAUGAUCACGAUUUGAUAACUCGUUUCAGCUUUCAAUGUACCGUCAGUAGCAAGCAUUGGAUACGUUGACUAUUUAAGGUAAAUGACUACUUAUG